GGAAGCCGUAUAAGGGAAACCUCACGUACGGUUGAUGAAGGGAAACUGAAAUGAGUAAAGAAGCUUAUGGUCGCUAUGAAAGUUUCAGUUUUCUGCUCAACUUCUAA
rnacentral:autocatalytically_spliced_intron from 1 species